GAANUCCCCGGGCUUAACCUGGGAACUGCGUUNUGAACUGGGUAGCUAGAGUAUGUCAGAGGGGGGUAGAAUUCCACGUGUAGCAGUGAAAUGCGUAGAGAUGUGGAGGAAUACCGAUGGCGAAGGCAGCCCCCUGGGAUAAUACUGACGUUCAUGCUCGAAAGCGUGGGUAGCAAACAGGAUUAGAUACCCUGGUAGUCCACGCCCUAAACGAUGUCGAUUAGCUGUUGGGCAACUUGAUUGCUUAGUAGCGUAGCUAACGCGUGAAAUCGACCGCCUGGGGAGUACGGUCGCAAGAUUAAAACUCAAAGGAAUUGACGGGGACCCGCACAAGCGGUGGAUGAUGUGGAUUAAUUCGAUGCAACGCGAAGAACCUUACCUGGUCUUGACAUGUACGGAAGAACUCAGAGACGAGUUUGUGCCUUCGGGAACCGUAACACAGGUGCUGCAUGGCUGUCGUCAGCUCGUGUCGUGAGAUGUUGGGUUAAGUCCCGCAACGAGCGCAACCCUUGUCAUUAGUUGCCAUCAUUUAGUUGGGCACUCUAAUGAGACUGCCGGUGACAAACCGGAGGAAGGUGGGGAUGACGUCAAGUCCUCAUGGCCCUUAUGACCAGGGCUUCACACGUCAUACAAUGGUCGGUACAGAGGGUAGCCAAGCCGCGAGGUGGAGCCAAUCCCAGAAAACCGAUCGUAGUCCGGAUUGCACUCUGCAACUCGAGUGCAUGAAGUCGGAAUCGCUAGUAAUCGCAGGUCAGCAUACUGCGGUGAAUACGUUCCCGGGUCUUGUACACACCGCCCGUCACACCAUGGGAGUGGGGGAUACCAGAAGCAGGUAGGGUAACCGCAAGGAGCCCGCUUGC
rnacentral:rRNA from 1 species